AACGAACGCUGGCGGCGCGCCUAAUACAUGCAAGUCGAACGAGAAGGUGUAGCAAUACACUUGUACAGUGGCGAACGGGUGAGGAAUGCAUGGGCAACCUACCCUCGAGUGGGGAACAACCAGCCGAAAGGUUGGCUAAUACCGCGUACGCUUCCGGGUCUCCGGAUCCGGAAGGAAAGUCACACCGUGGGUGUGACGCUCAAGGAUGGGCUCAUGUCCUAUCAGCUGUUGGUGAGGUAACGGCUCACCAAGGCAACGACGGGUAGCUGGUCUGAGAGGACGAUCAGCCACACUGGCACUGCGACACGGGCCAGACUCCUACGGGAGGCAGCAGUAAGGAAUAUUGCGCAAUGGGCGAAAGCCUGACGCAGCGACGCCGC
rnacentral:rRNA from 1 species